rnacentral:lncRNA from 1 species
GGUGGGAAUGCACGGGGCUGAUGGACAUGAACCAGCGAGCUCUGAACGCUGCUGUCUCCCGGGAACAGAGCCCAGGGGGUCUAUGGCAUAAGGGCUCUCAAGCUCCCGUGCCCCCAAUACCAGUGGAGUAAAUCGAGCCUGAGACAGAGUUCCGAAAUCAGAGCAGUCGCUCCUGCCCUGCUCGAGCACACACCGUGACACUCCUCCCGCCCAGCACGGGCAUCAGGCCAAACCCCCCUGGGUGCUGGGGGAGCGGUGGAUCUCUGCCGGGGUUUCUGUCUCAAUCCGUGCAAUAAUCCAGGCCAGUGAGUAGAAACAACAGUGAGUUGUACUAAUAGUUCUGACUCUGCUCAUGUCUUUCCCUCCAAAGUAAAAGACAACCUCGCCCCGUUCCACCCCUUGACCCGCAGGGGAGUAGCUGAUGGCAGGAGCAGAGCUCAGAGAGGAGGAACCGGGAUCGGACUCUGUUCCCGAGGGCAGGUUGGAUUUGUUCCGGUGCAGAGAUUGUGCUUCCUUAUUCACAGGAAAAAGGCAACGAUUUAUAAAAAUGCAAGUUAGUGAACUCCGACGGAAGAAGGAAAAAAGCUUCUUUCACAUCUUAUUUUUAAUUGACUAAAAUUUGGACACAAUUAAAAGAGCAGAGGCAUCUCUUACAGGGUGGUAUCAGGUGAGCUUCCCACUGAAUUUUUUAGCUGAUACAGACAAAUUUUGUGGGACUGGAUUAAAUGGUUCAGCUGACAACAAUGGUUCAGCUGAGCGCCAGCCUCAGAAAGAAAAGCCUUUAAAUUACAUUGUACUGAAAUAAAUGGGAGUGUUUAUUCA